rnacentral:rRNA from 1 species
GUGCCAGCAGCCGCGGUAAUUCCAGCUCCAAUAGCGUAUAUUAAAGUUGUUGCAGUUAAAAAGCUCGUAGUUGGAUCUCGGGCGCAGGCGGGCGGUCCGGCUCGCGCCGGCUCGCCGCCCGUUCCCCUGCCCCACCCCUGCCGGCUCCCUCCCGGUGGUGCUCUUCGCUGAGCGUCCCGGGCGGCCGGCGCGUUUACUUUGAAAAAAUUAGAGUGUUCAAGGCGGGCCCGCCGAGCCCGAAUAACUGCGCAUGGAAUAAUGGAAUAGGACCUCGGUUCUAUUUUGCUGGUUUUCGGAAUCCGAGGUAAUGAUUGACGGGGACAAACGGGGGCAUUCGUAUUGCGGCGUUAGAGGUGAAAUUCUUGGAUCGCCGCAAGACGGGCUACUGCGAAAGCAUUUGUCAAGAAUGUUUUCAUUAAUCAAGAA